CCCGGCGGUGCGCAGGCCUCAGCUAGACUGGUCUCGUACUCUGCGUCUUUCCUGGCAGUGCAUCAGCAGGACUUUCAGCCUAUUGUUUUGGGUUCUUAGCAGCAAUGAACAUGAUUGUUUUUGUCUUAAGGCCUCAAGUGAUGGCCACAUGAAGGAGGGUCCCCUCCUUUACCGACAGUCACCUGAUGGUGGAUGGUAGUUAUAACUACAGAAUGCCUUCUCCGAAACACCCGGGCCCCAGACCUGGUGAGCUGGUAUGGGAGAUUAGGCUGAUGGUUAAUGCCUGUGGGCCCCGAGAUCCCCGGACCUUCUUGAGGGUGCUGAGCACACCUGGCGUGGGAGAUUAAGCUGAUGGUUAAUGCCCCUGGGCCCCGAGGUCCCCGGACCUUCUCGAGGGUGCUGAGCACACCUGGCGUGGGAGAUUAAGCUGAUGGUUAAUGCCUGUGGGCCCCGAGGUCCCCAGAUGUUCUCGAGGGUGCGGCACAUGCAUGGCCACUGGGGCCAGGCAGCAGCAUCGUGCUUGACUCUGCUCUCAGGGCUCUCAGGGCCGCGCUCUGCGGGCGUCUCAGUCCCCGGUUUGAAGAGCAUUUUCUGACCACUGGGCAUUACGCGUGCUGGCAUGUGUGUAUGAGCCUGUUCCGUACACACAUAUGAUUUGUUUGAAUGUAGCCAGAGACAGGUUAAUAGAGGAAUCGGGAGAGUCAGUUCUUUCACUAAUAUUCAUCUCCGGUGGUCACAGACGUUGUCCCUGUUUUUGUGUGAAGUGAUGUUCACUCGGCCCCCGGAGCUAGUGUGUUAUAAUCAGACUUUGGGAGCAAUAAACGUUAACAGGCAGAGUUUCUGAAAACGCCUCGCUUUGCUCCUUGACGGAAUUCCAUUACAGCUGGGGGAAUCGAUACGACGCCUUGCUUCAUUAUUGCUUUUCUUCCACGUGGGCAGUUGCUUAAUAAAGCCCGAAGAACGGGCCGCACCGAAAACAGAACGGGAUGGUGCCAGGUGCCUCCCCUCUCUGGCCUCUCUGCAUCCACCUGUGGGAUGCGCCUUGUGUACGUCACAGAGCACUCCUGCGCCACACGUAAGCCUGUGUCCACCCUGGAGAAAUCACUGGGCGCCUGGAGGGUGGUCCAGCAGGUUCCGGAAUCCGACGGCUGCCUCUCUGCUCGGAGACCUUGGAGCUGUUUAGCCUCUUCCGAAUUAAUCUUUCUCGUCUAAAAAAGUGAAAAUAAGUUCCAUCUCAUUUACAUCAAACAGAGCAUAUGGCUCCCAAAGCAGCCCAGAACAUGCUGCGGAGAAAACUAGCAAUUUACUCCACGAUUCAGCUUCAUUUUUCUUUCAUUUUCAUGGAAACCAUAAGAUUGUUUUUGUGUUUCAAAUCAAACAUGUUUUUGAGCAAAGAGUACAUUACCCAGCUGUCCUAAAAGCAGAACUUAUCACUGUUCAGAUUUAAUCCAAGCCAUCUGCUGCGUUUCUUUCUUUCCAUUUAUUUCUGAGGCACAUCACAGGAAAGCUGCUUCUUGACAUAUCUCACUUGGAGAAACUACAAAGAGGAAAAUAUGGCAAAAACUUUCAAUGUCGCUUUGUCGAUGCACUUUGCAUAAAUAAUGAAACGUUGCCCUCCGCUCAGUGUUCAAAAACCCAGUGCUUGUCACCCCAACUUUAAAAUAAAUAGGAAAACUCCAAGAAACAAACUCAGCCUUACAUGUUCAUUUCCUACCAGGGUGGGUGUCACUAAUAUCCACAGGCUGAGCUCUUUUUUCAAGUGUGAUUCCAGUCAGCUUUUCAACCAAAGGCCUGAGAGCUGUGCAGGACAUGACAGGUGCACCAGGGGACCACCAGCCAGAAUGGGAGCAACAAGGGGUGCGGCUGGCCCUCGAUUCCAAAGCCUGGACUGAAGAUCUGAGCCACACACGUCUAAUGGGGUACGGGAAUCCUCAGUCCAGAAAUGACCUUGAACUCAGAUACUUGAGCAGAGGAUGACAUGGGCAGAACUGAGUAUAUUGUGCUUUCUAAGAUGUUAUGGGUCCGAUCAAGAAUGGGAAGGUGAUCCCUGGAAUUGGACAUCUCUGUCAGGCCCUGUUGGAACCCAGGGCGUCUGUAAGCCACAACCGCCUGUGACCUGCCCCUCAUGCAACUGCCACGUCUCAUCAACAGGGACGCGGAGGAAACUGACUCCGAGCCGUCACUUCAUCCCCGCUUCCAUGGAAGACAUGCUGCUUACAUAUUUCACAAAUGUGGCCGGAGAAGGGAGGCAGGAACCACUCAGUCACUGGGAUUAUCUUCUGGGAAGCCCACUCGGAUGAUGGGGAGUAUCUUCUGGGAAGCCCACUAGGAUGACAAGGAGGACCUCAUCUGCAUGGCUCACAGCCAUGACAGCUUGGGUCUCAGAGGGAAGGGAACUCAGGGGCAAUGCGCACUGGUGGGAUUGCUUAUGCACGAUAUUUGUCAAGCCAUCUCUUUUUGUAAAUAACUCUUCUCAUUAAAAACAUAAGGCAGCUUUGCAACUAUGCUGAUCUCAUUGGCUUUUGGUGAAGAAGAAGGAAUGUGUGCUGGACCCUGUGCCUGAAGCUGGAGUCCCAGGUACCCCAAGCCCAGGAAAAGACAAAGCCAAGAUUCUAUGUUCUGAAAGGAGCCAAAUGUGGCUCAGUUGCCCUCAAAGGAGAGAAGAUCCAAGGUAACCCGUGGUCAGCAAGAGUCAGAGGGCUGAAGCUGUGCCUGUGGUGUUGGCUGAAGACUGAGGGGCCUUUUCGCGGGUGGGCAGUCUCUUCCUCCUCACUGCAGCUUUGGGGUGCUGAUGCUCUGAGUUCAGGGUAAGGCCAGCUCGCCGUGAGACAAUGUGUCCUGCCUGCCUUGGGAAGGAAAACGGGAGGAAUUGGGAGGGAGAACAUGUUCCCAGUUCUUUACUCACUGUUGUGCUGGACACAAAUGUGGCAGGAACCUCUGAUAAAAUGCCCCAAAGCUCUGGAGACCUUAGGGGUCAGGUCCUGUGCACAAGAUUGUAACAGUGGCCAACAUGACAGAGUUUCAACAGAUGCCUGUUGAGUAAAGAAUGCAGGCACCGAGGUUCAGGCACAGCUCGGGGUCCAAUGCUAACAUAGGUGGAUUGCAUCACCAGCACUGGUGUCAGUGGGCCUUUUCCUUCAGGAGUGGGCUUUGAAGUAAUGACUGCCACUUCUUUUGGAUUUGGAGAUAAUAAAAUAACGAAGUGCUGAGCUUCCAAGUCCGGUCAGACAUCACGUGUGAGCUUCUGAGUCCGGUCAGACAUCACGUGUGAUCUUAGAAAUCCCUGAGUGGUGAAUGCUGGCCACACCGAGUGCUGGAGGCUUGUGAAUUCGACUCUCUUCUCCAAGUCCUCCAUCAGGUAUUUCACUCAUUCCAGCUGCAGUGCUGCGUGGUGAGGCUCCUGGCGUGACAUGGAAGGAGGGCUGUGUGAGUCAGGGCUGACACUCCCAGAGCAGGGAAUGGGAAAGAGAGCAGCCACUCUGCUGCCUUCCCAUGUGGAAGGGUCUGUGGAGCUGGGCACCUCCGAGAGUCCCGAGGCCCCGUGCACUUGACUGAGACUUCCUCAGUCUCUGAUGAGUGAUUACGGCAGUGACAGAAUUCUUGCAAUGAUGGAAUUCUUGCAGUGAAGGAAUUCUUGCAGUGACGGAAUUCUUGCUGGUGACAGCUUAUAUAAUGUUUGCAAAACAGCCGUUUUCUAAAAUGGAGCUUUCCAGGCCAAAAAUGCUUGAUGUCAAGAAAAUGACUUUUAGCUUUGAGAUAGCAUCUGGGUCUAAUUUCAGAAAGGUGGGUCUACACACAGGUUACUGCCAAGGACACAUGUCUUCAGGCUCCAGAACCCUGCCUCAAGGCUGGCAACACCACAGCUGCCUGAAAUGCAAUAUUUAAACACAGAACCUUACAAAAGAUGGCAAGAGGGUCAGAGUCAAGCACAAA